UACGUAGGGUGCGAGCGUUAAUCGGAAUUACUGGGCGUAAAGAGUGCGUAGGCGGUUGCUGAAGUCCGCUGUGAAAGCCCCGGGCUCAACCUGGGAAUGGCGAUGGAUACUGGCGGGCUAGAGUGCGGUAGAGGAGAGUGGAAUUCCCGGUGUAGCAGUGAAAUGCGUAGAGAUCGGGAGGAACAUCAGUUGCGAAGGCGGCUCUCUGGACCAGCACUGACACUGAGGCACGAAAGCGUGGGGAGCAAACAGG
rnacentral:rRNA from 1 species